ACGAACGCUGGCGGCGUGCUUAACACAUGCAAGUCGAACGGUAAGGCCCUUUCGGGGGUACACGAGUGGCGAACGGGUGAGUAACACGUGAGUAACCUGCCCUUGACUCUGGGAUAACAGCCGGAAACGGUUGCUAAUACCGGAUAUUCAGCUUCUGCCGCAUGGUGGUUGUUGGAAAGCUUUUGUGGUCAAGGAUGGGCUCGCGGUCUAUCAGCUUGUUGGUGGGGUAGUGGCUCACCAAGGCUUCGACGGGUAGCCGGCCUGAGAGGGUGACCGGCCACAUUGGGACUGAGAUACGGCCCAAACUCCUACGGGAGGCAGCAGUGGGAAUAUUGCACAAUGGACGGAAGUCUGAUGCAGCAACGCCGCGUGCGGGAUGACGGCCUUCGGGUUGUAAACCGCUUUCAUCCAUGACGAAGCGAGAGUGACGGUAGUGGGAGAAGAAGCACCGGCUAACUACGUGCCAGCAGCCGCGGUGAUACGUAGGGUGCGAG
rnacentral:rRNA from 1 species